CCUCGUGCAAGCCGUUCC
rnacentral:miRNA from 1 species